GUGUCAGCCGCCGCGGUAAUACGAGGGGGGCAAGCGUUGUUCGGAAUUAUUGGGCGUAAAGGGUGCGUAGGCGGUGCGGUAAGUCUGUUGUGAAAUCUCCGGGCUCAACUCGGAGUCUGCAUCAGAAACUGCCGUGCUGGAGUGUGGGAGAGGUGAGUGGAAUUCCCGGUGUAGCGGUGAAAUGCGUAGAGAUCGGGAGGAACACCUGCGGCGAAAGCGGCUCACUGGACCAUAACUGACGCUGAUGCACGAAAGCUAGGGGAGCAAACAGGAUUAGAUACCCCUGUAGUCC
rnacentral:rRNA from 1 species